rnacentral:misc_RNA from 1 species
GUGAAUCAUCGAAUUUUUGAACGCAAAUUGCACUCUCUUCGGAGAGUAUGCCUGUUUGAGGGUCAGCCUAAAAAAAAAAAUCGACAUAGUCGCUGUUUCGCGGUUUCAUUUGUCGGAAAUUUGUUCAUCUUAAACUUUUUGGUUUUAAUCGGUUUAAAUUUUUUUUUACGAUUCCAUGUACGUUUCUAAGAUUUAUUUCUUAUACGUUUAAGGUAUCGAUCUUUAUUAGACCUGACCGUACCA